AUUGAACGCUGGCGGCAUGCCUUACACAUGCAAGUCGAACGGUAACAGGUCUUCGGAUGCUGACGAGUGGCGAACGGGUGAGUAAUACAUCGGAACGUGCCUAGUAGUGGGGGAUAACUACUCGAAAGAGUGGCUAAUACCGCAUGAGAUCUACGGAUGAAAGCAGGGGAUCGCAAGACCUUGUGCUACUAGAGCGGCCGAUGGCAGAUUAGGUAGUUGGUGGGAUAAAAGCUUACCAAGCCGACGAUCUGUAGCUGGUCUGAGAGGACGAUCAGCCGCCCUGGGACGGAGACACGGCCCAGACUCCUACGGGAGGCAGCAGUGGGGAAUUUUGGACAUUGGGCGCAAGCCUGAUCCAGCAAUGCCGCGUGCAGGAUGAAGGCCUUCGGGUUGUAAACUGCUUUUGUACGGAACGAAAAGCCCCGGGUUAAUACCCUGGGGUCAUGACGGUACCGUAAGAAUAAGCACCGGCUAACUACGUGCCAGCCGCCGCAGUAA
rnacentral:rRNA from 1 species